AUAUGAUUAUAUUAUAUAUGAGAUUAUAUGAUAGUAUAAUCAUAUAGAUUAGAUUCAAUAUUCAAAUUUAAUAUUAUGAUAAUAAAACGACGAUAAAAAUUAUGAUAUAUAAUAUCGUAGAAGUCAAUUUAAAGUUGUAUGAAAACGUAUCUUAAUACAAAUGAUCUAAUAGAUGGUGCGGCAAUCGCUUUUUCUUUAGUCUCUUUUUUUUCUUAUUCUAUUUCUAAAUGUAGUGUGUUAUUAAACGCUGAAUAUUUGAGAUUAAUUUGUGUUUAUCUGAGAAUAAAGUAUAAACCAAUAUCAAAGAAAAAAUUCAGCUUAUAUUUUACAAGAAAAUAUAAUAAUAUUUUAUGAAAUCUUGAAGUAAUUAUUUUUAAAUUUGGUCAAAUAGCAUAUUUUAGUAGUGGUUUUUUGAUAUGUUUUUACAGAAGCUAUAUAUAGAGUGAUAAUUUGAAUUGUGAUUUUAUCAAAAACAUGUGUUCGAUAAUAUGAAAUUAAUGAGAUCAAAAUUAUCGAAUUGCAUCACACAUAUCGAAGUGGACUAGGAUCAUUUCACGAAAACCGAUAUUGCAAGGAAACAGAUCAAGGAAACAGAUCUACUGCAAAUCUACUUCAUGGUGUUCAUGUGUAGUGAAAGCGAUGUAUCUAGAAGUUGAUAUCUUGCAAAGAUUCAUUGAAAUCAAUAAUGAAAUCCAGGACAUCCAAUAACUUUUAUCUAAAAAUUAUAAAAUGCAAUGUUUUUGAUAAAAAGAUUUUAUUUUUCAAAGUUUGGUAGACUUUGAGAGACUUUGAGAGACAGCGAUGAAAUCAUUCAAAUAUCUAAAAUCUAAAAUGCGCUAUAAAUAUCGUCACGUUUAUAUUCGAAACGUAUAUACGUCUAUAUGGAAGCAAUUUUGAAUUCAUAUCUCACAUCAAUUCCAAUCAAUCAUCUCUUAAAUUAGCAAUAUGUUUACAAGUAAGAUAACAUUUUUGAAUUCGCUGGUAGUAAAAAUACAUAAAUAAGGUUAACUAAUUGCAACUAAUAGAUUGGAAACAAUUAUUUAAUUACUUUUAUUUAUAAUGUUUGUCUUAAUUUGAUUAAGAUGACAUGUCAUCUAUACAGUAGCUACUGAGAUAUAUUAUCUAGUUAAUGAAACAAUAGAAUCCUGUAAAUUAUAAUAAUCAAAACUGUUAAAACCGAGUUGAAACGUAAAAAGAAUAAAAAAGAGAAAAGAAUCACGGAGAAAAGAAUUCUCUUACAUAUAGCACUCAUAUAUAUAAUGAGCAACAAUGCUUAUAAAUAAUUUCUUGUUGUAUAUAUAACGCGUCAGAAUUUGUUUUUUUAUGUAUUUUCGUCUAUAUUUCAUUUCUUUAUAUUUUUAUAUUUACAUUUCUAUAAGUCUUUUAAAAGAAAUUCUGAUUUCUCGAACAGGAAUAAUCUCAUAUGUUAUGGACCAUUCUUCUUUCAAGUUUUUUACUUGAUUAAAAUGUUCAACUAAGUUUCGAUUUUUUCUUUUUCUUUUUCAUGCAUACAUUAUUGAAAUCAAAAUGUUUUACAAAAAUUAUUGCCUGCUUCGGUUGCUAAAAAAAGCUUACGUAGCUUACUAGCUUACGUACGAGUCACUCAAAUGACUGUGGAGUUUACUAAUUCAUUGGUUUCAUCUUUGCUAUUACUCUUAACUCAUUCAUUGUAACAAUGAAAAAAAAUGAUCCAAUGUCGUAAUAAAAAAAGUUUAUAUAUCUAUCUUACUAUAUCUCUUAAAACAUGUUCGGUCUUACCAUUUUUAAUACUUAACGGACUCAGGAUUAUCUUAGCCCAAAUUUGCCAUUUCGAUAAAAAUUAUAACGAAGCUUUAUGAUCUUUAUUAACUGUGUUACAUCGUGGAACAGUUAAAAUGGUCGUCUAUUAGAGUUAAAAAUAGAAGAAUUAAAAAAAAAAUUAAAUUUCUUAUAAAGAAAAAUAAUACAAAAUAAGAUAAAUACGUAUAACGUAAUAUAACAAAUUACAUAUAAUAUAUUAUAUAAUAAUUGUAAUAAUGCAUUAUAAUACAUAAGGUAUUGUAAAACAAUGCAAUUAAAUGCUUCUAAAGAAAAGAUGUUAGUCAGAUUGCAACUAGAACUGAUCAGGUGCUGCCAUCUAUUUCAUAACUUCUAUUUAGCAGUUACCCACCGAUACACAAGAUGAUAGAAUAGGAAGUGUAGCAAUGCUCCACGAGAUUACGGAAUAGCAAGAAUUUUUCUAUAUUUAAUAUUAUGAUAAUUAAGCAAUAAUUAUUGUACAUCUAUGUACUUAAUAUUAUAUAACAAUCGAGUAAUUUAUAUGCA